rnacentral:rRNA from 1 species
CGCGCAGGCGGCUAUUUUUGUCGAGUGUGAAAGCCCCGGGCUUAACCUGGGAACUGCGCUCGAAACGGGAUGGCUGGAGAUCGGGAGAGGAGAGUGGAAUUCCCAGUGUAGAGGUGAAAUUCGUAGAUAUUGGGAAGAACACCGGUGGCGAAGGCGGCUCUCUGGACCGAUACUGACGCUGAGGCGCGAAAGCGUGGGGAGCAAACAGGAUUAGAUACCCUGGUAGUCCACGCUGUAAACGAUGUGUGCUAGACGUUGGGGAGCCUAGCUCUUCGGUGUCGCAGCUAACGCUUUAAGCACACCGCCUGGGGAGUACGGCCGCAAGGUUAAA